GAAAAUCUUGGCAUAGAUAUGGAAUAAAUAUUAAUGUCUCCAAAAUCUUCUCAAAAUUUAUACUAUGGCACAAACAAGUUAAAUGUAGGUCUCUUCCUCACCAUCUAUCUUAGGUCUCUUUCUCAUAUUUUCCUCCAAUCUCUACUGCUGGGAAGGCGAGGGACAUGGAGGGGAGAGAUCACCUCAAGUAGGCACAGGCUGGAAAAUUCAAGAUCAAGGCACUAUCAGGUUUGGUGUCUGGUGAGGGUGUGGUCUCCACUUCCAAGAUGGCACCUUGAACCUUGCAUCAGGGAAGAGGGAGGGAGCACUGUGUCCUCACAUGGCAGAAGGCAGAGGGCAAAAAAGGACUAACCUCCCUCCAUCAGGCCCAUUUAUAAUGGCAUCGAUCCAUUCACGAGGGUGG
rnacentral:lncRNA from 1 species